rnacentral:rRNA from 1 species
AGUGGGGAAUAUUGCACAAUGGGCGCAAGCCUGAUGCAGCCAUGCCGCGUGUAUGAAGAAGGCCUUCGGGUUGUAAAGUACUUUCAGCAGUGAGGAAGGCGGGUGUGUUAAUAGCGCAUUCGUUUGACGUUAGCUGCAGAAGAAGCACCGGCUAACUCCGUGCCAGCAGCCGCGGUAAUACGGAGGGUGCGAGCGUUAAUCGGAAUUACUGGGCGUAAAGCGCAUGCAGGUGGUGUGUUAAGUCAGAUGUGAAAGCCCGGGGCUCAACCUCGGAAUAGCAUUUGAAACUGGCAGACUAGAGUACUGUAGAGGGGGGUAGAAUUUCAGGUGUAGCGGUGAAAUGCGUAGAGAUCUGAAGGAAUACCGGUGGCGAAGGCGGCCCCCUGGACAGAUACUGACACUCAGAUGCGAAAGCGUGGGGAGCAAA